CACUGAUAUGAAGAGCUUGCUCGGAUUUGAAGAUGAACAUUGCAAAGAGUGGCGAACGGGUGAGUAACACGUGGGAAACCUACCUCUUAGCGGGGGAUAACACUUGGAAACAAGUGCUAAUACCGCAUAAUACUGAUAACCGCAUGGUUAUCAGUUGAAAGAUGGUUCUGCUAUCACUAAGAGAUGGUCCCGCGGUGUAUUAGCUAGUUGGUAAGGUAAUGGCUUACCAAGGCAAUGAUACAUAGCCGAGUUGAGAGACUGAUCGGCCACAAUGGGACUGAGACACGGCCCAUACUCCUACGGGAGGCAGCAGUAGGGAAUCUUCCACAAUGGACGAAAGUCUGAUGGAGCAACGCCGCGUGUGUGAUGAAGGGUUUCGGCUCGUAAAACACUGUUGUAAGAGAAGAAUGACAUUGAGAGUAACUGUUCAGUGUGUGACGGUAUCUUACCAGAAAGGAACGGCUAAAUACGUGCCAGCAGCCGCGGUAAUACGUAUGUUCCAAGCGUUAUCCGGAUUUAUUGGGCGUAAAGCGAGCGCAGACGGUUGUUUAAGUCUGAAGUGAAAGCCCACAGCUUAACUGUGGAAGUGCUUUGGAAACUGGAUAACUUGAGUGCAGUAGAGGAGAGUGGAACUCCAUGGG
rnacentral:rRNA from 1 species